rnacentral:rRNA from 1 species
AACGAACGCUGGCGGCAUGCCUAACACAUGCAAGUCGAACGAGACCUUCGGGUCUAGUGGCGCACGGGUGCGUAACACGUGGGAAUUUGCCUCGGGGUAUGGAAUAACUCAGGGAAACUUGAGCUAAUACCAUAUAAUGUCUUCGGACCAAAGAUUUAUCGCCCUGAGAUAAGCCCGCGUAGGAUUAGCUAGUUGGUGAGGUAAAGGCUCACCAAGGCGACGAUCCUUAGCUGGUCUGAGAGGAUGAUCAGCCACACUGGGACUGAGACACGGCCCAGACUCCUACGGGAGGCAGCAGUGGGAAUAUUGGACAAUGGGCGCAAGCCUGAUCCAGCAAUGCCGCGUGCAGGAUGAAGGCCUUCGGUUGUAACUAGCUUUGUUACGGAACGGAAACGGUAGAGCUCUAAUACAG